GCCAAGCCGCGAAACGGGUGAGUAACACGUGUACUGCCCGAUGAUCGGGACAACCCGGGGAAACCCGGGCUAUUACCGAAUGUGGGUCGCGGUCCGUGAGGACUGUGACGAAAGGAAGCUUCGGCCUCCGCAUCGGGAUGGGGCCCGCGGCCCAUUAGCUUGUUGGUGGGGUAAUGGCCUACCAAGGCAUCGAUGGGUAGCUGGUCUGAGAGGACGAUCAGCCACACUGGAACUGAAACACGGUCCAGACUCCUACGGGAGGCAGCAGUGGGGAAUCUUGCGCAAUGGAGGAAACUCUGACGCAGCGACGCCGCGUGGGUGAAGAAGGCCUUCGGGUUGUAAAGCCCUGUCGAGAGGGAAAAACGGCUACUGCAAUAAUACGGCAGUAGCGUGAUGGUACCUCUAAAGGAAGCACCGGCUAACUCUGUGCCAGCAGCCGCGGUAAUACAGAGGGUGCAAGCGUUGUUCGGAAUUAUUGGGCGUAAAGGGCAGGUAGGUGGUCUAUCAAGAGUGCUGUGAAAUCCCUGAGCUUAACUCAGGACGUGCGGGCUGACUGAUGGACUAGAGUACUGGAGGGGGUUUGGUGGAAUUCCCGGUGUA
rnacentral:rRNA from 1 species